rnacentral:rRNA from 1 species
CGGGCUUGAAGUAGGACCUGAGUAACACGUGGGUAACCUGCCCAUAAGACUGGGAUAACUCCGGGAAACCGGGGCUAAUACCGGAUAACAUUUUGAACCGCAUGGUUCGAAAUUGAAAGGCGGCUUCGGCUGUCACUUAUGGAUGGACCCGCGUCGCAUUAGCUAGUUGGUGAGGUAACGGCUCACCAAGGCAACGAUGCGUAGCCGACCUGAGAGGGUGAUCGGCCACACUGGGACUGAGACACGGCCCAGACUCCUACGGGAGGCAGCAGUAGGGAAUCUUCCGCAAUGGACGAAAGUCUGACGGAGCAACGCCGCGUGAGUGAUGAAGGCUUUCGGGUCGUAAAACUCUGUUGUUAGGGAAGAACAAGUGCUAGUUGAAUAAGCUGGCACCUUGACGGUACCUAACCAGAAAGCCACGGUAACUACGUGCCAGCAGCCGCGGUAAUACUAGGUGGCAAGCGUUAUCCGGAAUUAUUGGGCGUAAAGCGCGCGCAGGUGGUUUCUUAAGUCUGAUGUGAAAGCCCACGGCUCAACCGUGGAGGGUCAUUGGAAACUGGGAGACUUGAGUGCAGAAGAGGAAAGUGAUCCAUGUGUAGCGGUGAAAUGCGUAAGAUAUGGAGGACACCGGCAAGGCGACUUUUCUGGUCUGUAACUGACACUGAGGCGCGAAAGCGUGGGGAGCAACAGGAUUAUAUACCCUGGUAGUCCCGCCGUAACAUGAGGCUAAGUGUAGGGUUUCCCCUUUAUGCUGAAGGUACCGCAUUACACUCCGCCUGGGGAGUACGGUCGCAGGUGAACUCAGUAAUUGAGGGCCGCUACAUGGUAUUCGUUUAUUUAUCCAAAUCUUAGUCUGACCUUGAACCUAAGUGCUUCUUUCGGCUGAGGGGGACGCGGACUUUAACCUGCAAGAAGUCGCCUGGGAACCAUUACCAAUUCCCUGGAGCAAUCCAAUCCAGGAGGUUUUAAUAUCCCCCCGGCUGGUCUUUCCCAUUGGCGGGCCAGGCUAAGGGGGGAUUACCUCCCCCUCCCGGGUUGGCCCCGGCGCCCCUAAAGGCCACUUAAGGGGACUAAAAAGGGUGUCUGGGAAUUAACCACUCCAAGCUGAAACCUGGCCCUGGUCGGUCCCAAGGAAAACCCAUGGGGUGGAAGAAGAACCGGAGGGUCCUCCUGUUAUUUAACGUCCUUGGGCCCCAUUCUUAUUCCUGGCCCCCGGGAUAGUACUUCGGGGAAACCCAAUACCUUAGGGGCGGACACCGUUCCCCGCCGCGGCAGUAACAAAAGCCUCCUGGUCUCCUCACGUUUCCUACUGGAUCACUUCUUGCAAAGUCUUAUGACCCCCCGGUGAGCCGGGCUUCACAUCAGAAUAAGAACCUGCCUUCCCAGCUCCACUAUGCUGUAUUUGAGCGCAGGCCUAUCACUAAUUAACUCAUUCAUACAGACA